GUGAAUUGCAGAAUCCCGUGAACCAUCGAGUCUUUGAACGCAAGUUGCGCCUGAAGCCAUUAGGUUGAAGGCACGUCUGCCUGGGCGUCACGC
rnacentral:rRNA from 3 species